rnacentral:rRNA from 1 species
UGGGGAAUCUUCCGCAAUGGGCGAAAGCCUGACGGAGCAACGCCGCGUGAUCGAAUGAAGGCCUCGGUUGUAAAGAUCUGUUGACAGGGACGAAUAAGCAAUGCGAAUAGUUUUGUGUAUGACGGUACCUGUUUAGAAAGCUCCGGCUAACUACGUGCC